AUUGAACGCUGGCGGCAUGCUUUACACAUGCAAGUCGGACGGCAGCACAGAGAAGCUUGCUUCUUGGGUGGCGAGUGGCGAACGGGUGAGUAAUAUAUCGGAACGUACCGAGUAAUGGGGGAUAACUAAUCGAAAGAUUAGCUAAUACCGCAUAUUCUCUGAGGAGGAAAGCGGGGGACCUUCGGGCCUUGCGUUAUUCGAGCGGCCGAUAUCUGAUUAGCUAGUUGGUGGGGUAAAGGCCUACCAAGGCGACGAUCAGUAGCGGGUCUGAGAGGAUGAUCCGCCACACUGGGACUGAGACACGGCCCAGACUCCUACGGGAGGCAGCAGUGGGGAAUUUUGGACAAUGGGCGCAAGCCUGAUCCAGCCAUGCCGCGUGUCUGAAGAAGGCCUUCGGGUUGUAAAGGACUUUUGUCAGGGAAGAAAAGGCUGUUGCUAAUAUCGACAGCUGAUGACGGUACCUGAAGAAUAAGCACCGGCUAACUACGUG
rnacentral:rRNA from 1 species